AGCAAGUGACUAAUUUUGUUAAAAUAACGAAAUAGUACUUCCUUACUGGGAACAGUCUCUCGCUCCGUUCAUUUUGUCUGAAAAAUCAAGCCGUACUUGUCGAUCGGCACGAACUGCAUCGUCUCACUGAAAUGGAUCUUUGUGGACAUCUGAUUCACCUCUUGAAACGGGACAACCGGGCUUAAUCAAAUACAGAGAGAAUCAACGCGUAUAGUUUUCCACUUGCACUUGGACAUGCCUUACGUACCUGAAGACAUCGGCACAAUUGCCUAUUCAAUCUAUUACGUACUUCAGCAUUAAGUUCACAACCAAACCAAUGUAUAAUCAUGCCGAUGCUUUUGGGAGGCGGGAAACUUCUGACGAUGGUGUAAAUAUAUUUGCCGGCGCAAACCUUUGGUGCUCUUAGGUUGCGGUAGAUUUUAAGGCUUGUUAAGGACAUCAUAGUCAUUUUGUUGGACAAUGCACAUACCUGAAGGCUAACUGAACGAGAUGUGUAGCCCGAUCUUCCUGACUUAGGACACGUAAUCCUAUAAGGAAAGCGAAGAUGCCGCUUCGUUGCCGUUUUCUGCAAACCACCUGAUACAGUGCAGUCUUCUACUUUCUCACCAACGCCCGUCUAAUCCACUUUUAAAGGAUGUUUGUGAGUUUUUUAAAAUUUGCUAACCAGCUACAAAUCACAUUAAGCUUCGUUAAACCCGUAUUUUAGUGACAUAAGCAUCGCUGGACCGGUAUUGAUGUUUCACCAAUAAUAAAGAUGCAUUGCUU